UCGAUAUCAACGGGAGACAAACCGGUGGCGCAAAAACACGGAUAUUUCACACAGACAAAUUUAGCAUUUGGGUGUCUUGUGUAAAAUCUUGUAUAGUCUUGUUGACUAACCACUGGUAUUGCCGGAGUACAACACACAGAAUUUUCAGGUUGAAUUAGGCAAUCGGAGACAAUUGUCAGGGUACAAUCUAAAGAGCCGGCAGUGUAUAUAAUUGUCCUGAAAUGAUUAUCUGUUUGCAAGCAAGCACAUAAAACAAAGAAUUACUAUAUAGUAUAUACCAAUGCCAGCCAGCAAACAAAUUAGGGUUUGUUUGGAUACCGAUACCAUACCUGGGAGGAGUACUUUAUCAGAAGUAGUGAUAUUGCCAUCAGAGCAGCCAUGGGCGAUGAGGUGGAUGAAAAGGAUGUCACCUGGUUUAGCAUGCUCAACCAAAUAGCAUGUCUCCAGUCGUAUGUUGUAGUCAGUGGGUUGUGAUUUGUCUGGGUCUCCAUCUUCAAUCAAGAGAGUGAUGUUGUUAUCUGAAAACCCUCGCAGAUCCAUGAGGAAUUUCUUCAUCCUCAAUAUCUUCCCUUUCACAUCAUCAAUAUCAUUCAUCUGUGGGUGUUUCAAUCCAAUCAACAGAGCUUUCUUUUCCCCUAAAUUUCCCUCAACUGCCUCAAUCUUCUUCUUCUUUGCUAAAUUUUCCUCUACCGGCUCAAUCUCCUCCCGUGAUCGCAUUAUAGAUGCCAUCAGUUGCCUGCUGAAUCUGAUGAUGAUCUUUUUUUUCUUUUCUUUUUCGGUGAUUGAGGUUUUGACAAUCGCUGCGGCGUGUGGUCUUAGGAUCGAAUCCUAUUAGGUCCUACUGCACUGUUUUUUUUUUGCACUUCCCAUAUAUUUGGGCCUACUUUGUAUUUGGGCUGUAUUGGUUUGGUGUCAAUUUAAUGUUAAACUAGGGUUAGCAGAUAUUUGGGCUGUCAGAUAUUUGGGCAUACUUUGUCUUCCGUGAAUUCCGGCCAUCGUCGUCCCACCACUUCACGUAACUGCCCAUCGUUCUGCUCCUAUGAUCCCUAAUCUAUUCACCGACUAUGCCACUGUCACUUCAUCGACAACUGUUCCACUUCAUCCUGUACUUCCUUCCGUUGGAUUGGUUGUAUUUGUUGGAUGCUACUAUGCUAUGAAGCUCAUCUAUUAUCUAUAUUCACUUCUCCCUAUCAACAAACCAUGGUACUGUUGACAUCUAUAAUUGUGUUUUCUAUUUUACAAGUUGUGUUCCUAUACCCUAUCUCCUCCCUUAAUUCCUUUACAGCUUCUCUGAUUUGAUCUGGAGAAUUCUAAAUUCGUGGCUAUAAAUCGAAUCAUAUUGUGCUGAGAUGUUCAUAUUGUGUUUUCAGCCUAGUACCCUUGCUUCCAUUUUCUCAUCUCUUUUGCUUUGAUUCAUUUGUCGUGAUUUUGAUCGGAGACAUGGGUGUACAUGUGAAUCCCACCAAGAGUCUCUGCCUUUGGAAAAAAUUACUUGAAAAUUAGGACUAGGGUUAUCCUCUCCACAUUGUUCUAAUUGAUGCUAAGAAUUAGAUCCACACUUAAUUAUCUUUAGCUGAUCUUAGUGUUUGUUUCAUGUACAUUAAUUCUUCAUUUGACUUAUUUUUAGCGUUAGUACUGUAUUGACUAUUGAGUAUGUUUGUUGUUAACUAUGAGGUUCCCGUGCGAUGCAUGAUGACCCGGGUUUAUAUGAUGUUUUUAUGGUUUUUCUUUGUUAGUCUUGAGUCUUUUUCUUGUGUCUCAUGUAGUGUUUCAUGCAAUUUAAAUAAGAACACACGAAACCUGAAAUAACUAAACAAGAACCGAUCAUCUGACCAAAAGCCAUAUGUCGCUUGACAUAGUACACUGACAUCAUUCAAAUAAUAUAUAUACCAGUGUGCUACCUAAUCAGCGAACAAAAAGGAGGCAUAAGCAUGGUGGUGCUCAUUGGAAUGCAGUCCAGGGUUUUGAUGAAUACCUUGCAUCCUAAGUUUAUCCAUAGCCUUUCGUGCAAGGUCUACACUUGUAACUCGUCCCUGAGUCUCUUCAAUUAUAUCAAGAAUGAUAGUGGUAAAAACCCCAUAUAAUUUGUGUGGGUUAGGAGGAGUAGUAGUGGUUGUGGAAGAAGCUAAGAAUAAUUCUGGCAUAUAGAAGAAGGGUCCCCUGUCCUCUUUGGGCUUCUUCUGGUCAUAUUGGAAAGCAUUCAAGAGAAUUAAUCUUGAACUUGGAAAGCUGGUCUCCUCUGAGUGGGUCUUGAGAGUUGGAGUUAUGCAAGGUGUUUCGAUAUCAACGGGAGACAAACCGGUGGCGCAAAAACACGGAUAUUUCACACAGACAAAUUUAGCAUUUGGGUGUCUUGUGUAAAAUCUUGUAUAGUCUUGUUGACUAACCACUGGUAUUGCCGGAGUACAACACACAGAAUUUUCAGGUUGAAUUAGGCAAUCGGAGACAAUUGUCAGGGUACAAUCUAAAGAGCCGGCAGUGUAUAUAAUUGUCCUGAAAUGAUUAUCUGUUUGCAAGCAAGCACAUAAAACAAAGAAUUACUAUAUAGUAUAUACCAAUGCCAGCCAGCAAACA
rnacentral:lncRNA from 1 species